rnacentral:rRNA from 1 species
UACGUAUGGAGCGAGCGUUGUCCGGAAUUAUUGGGCGUAAAGGGUGCGCAGGCGGCUUUACAAGUUGGAUGUGAAAUAUUGUGGCUCAACCACAAACGUGCAUCCAAAACUGCAAAGCUUGAGUUAAGGAGAGGUAAGUGGAUUCCUGGUGUAGCGGUGGAUGCGUAGAUAUCAGGAGGAUACCGGUGGCGAAGGCGACUUACUGGACUUAAACUGACGCUCAGGCACGAAAGCGUGGGG